ACAUCUUGUAAAUGUGUUCAAGAUAACACUUUACAUUGUUAAAUUUGCCUUUUUUAAGAAACUAAUUUUCUUCUCUUUUUUUUUUCCACAACCCAUUCACUCAAUUAUGCCCAGGGUUCGCCCAAAGCGACCAGUCAUUUUCUAUAAACGCAGCACCGGUAGUGGUGGCGAGAACAACAGGAUCGGCACUUUGAUGCCAGCAUGUGUAACAUAAGCAGCAUUUUACUAUUUCCAGCAGACAUGAUGUGGAGGCAGUUCAAACACAGGUAACUUGCUUCAAGUGUAGCUGCAAUGCAAGAAGUCCUUGGGCUACCAGAGUCUCUGCAAGAUUCCGCACUACUGGAAAAAAAUCUAAUUAAUGGACAUUAAUGAAACAAAGAAAAAGUAAUUCAUUGCAACGACCAAUUGAAUUAACAUGUAAUGCUUUUGUUGUGCGUGUAAUCCUCACAAAAAUAUCACCACUUCAGGCAACAGCAAAAUCCUGCUGUUAAUAGCUCGACUGCAGAAGACCACACAGAUCUCCAUUGACCUCUUGUGCACUGUGGGAGAAUGUGGCUUGUCGUUCUGGAGGUGUCAGUGGUUAGGGUCUGGUGGGAUAGCCUGGUCAUCCAAGUGCUGUGUUAAUCUGGGAGGUCUAUCAGAAAUCCAUGAGGGCUCAAAGUCCUGACCAAAGCUCCAGACAUCUGUAUAAACAGAACGUGCUCCAGUGUAAUGGAGCGAUUGACUGUCGACAACAUUUGAGAGAUGUAUUGCACGUCAACAGGCAGCAAGCCUGUUUUGUUGCAAAUGUCGUUAUAAAACGAAGUUAUUUUAACUCCCUUUAUUAAUGUAGGUUAACAAUACAAUAACAAUAAUAACUUUCCACUGUUGUUUGCACAGUGCAGUCAUUUAUUGAUAGGCUCUAAGGAUUUAACUUAAGGCAGCACUUUUCUCAUUAGCUUUGAAUCGCUCAUACCGAUUCCUCACAAAACAAAACAUACGUAAAUAAAUAGCUGUUUUUCUCUCAA